AUCACUUUGUGAGUCUGGCUUCACAUGGGUACUGAAGAUUUGAACCUGAGCCAUCAGACUUUGCAAGCAAGUGCUUUUAACUGCUGAGUCAUCUCUCCAGCCCUGGUGGAGAUAUUAGACUCUUAUCUGUGGAUUUUGCCAGGGCUGAAACUAAACCAAGGGUUCUAUACAUAUACCUCACCAUUGAGAAAUUGCAAGAAAGAAACUGCUUUGAGAGGUGCCAGGUGAGGUUUGAGCUGAUGUGGAAGUUAAGCAAAUCCCAGAGCACCAGGAGCUGCACUGUUUGCAGUGGAACGAGGAUGUGAAGUAGCAAGACAUGUCAUUAUACUGUCAGGGUUUGGGGCUAAAUUUAGCCAUCUAGAUUGAAGAGGUGUCACUGGAGGCAGAUCUUGGGGUCCAGCCCUAAGGUGUCUUGGAGGUGGAUCUGAAUUCUAACCAAAAGGUAUAAAGGGAAGUUUGAGCUCCGGAGGGGCCCCUUCUGUUUGCUGCCAGUUUUCUGCUUGUUGCUUUUGAUGUUGGCUGGCUGCUGAUGGUGUCUCCCCGCUUGGAUGCAUGGAAGCAGCUUCUUCCGCCAUUGAUGGAACUUCCGCCUGGAUCUACAAGCUUGAAAUAAAUGGU